AACGAACGCUGGCGGCAUGCCUAACACAUGCAAGUCGAACGAGACCUUCGGGCCUAGUGGCGCACGGGUGCGUAACGCGUGGGAACAUGCCUUUAGGUUCGGAAUAACUCAGAGAAAUUUGAGCUAAUACCGGAUGUUGUCUUCGGACCAAAGAUUUAUCGACCUUGGUGGGGCCGGCGUUGGAUUAGAUGGUUGUUGGGGUAAAGGCCUAUAAAGGCGACGAUCGAUAGCUGGUAAGAGAGGAUGAUCAGCCACACUGGUACUGGGACACGGCCCAGACUCCUAGGGGAGGGAGCAGUGGGUAAUAUUGGACAGUGGGCGAAAGCCUGAUCCAGCAAUGCUGCGUGAGCGAUGAAGGCUUUAGGGUUGUAAAGCUCUUUUACCCGAGACGAUAAUGACGUUAUCGGGAGAAUAAGCACCGGCUAACUCCGUG
rnacentral:rRNA from 1 species